AUUGAACGCUGGCGGCAGGCCUAACACAUGCAAGUCGAGCGGAGCGGCUGGCGGGUGAGUAAUGCCUAGUCAUCUGCCUGGUCGUGGGUGAUAACGUCCUAAAACGGGCGCUAAUACCGCAUACUAUCAUAUGAGCCUAGGUAGGAUUAGCUAGUUGGUAGGGUAAAGGCCUACCAAGCCGACGAUCCGUAACUGGUCUGAGAGGAGGAUCAGCCACAUGGGGACUGAGACACGGUCCAGACUCCUACGGGAGGCAGCAGUGGGGAAUAUUGGACAAUGGGCGAAAGCCUGAUCCAGCCAUGCCGCGUGUGUGAAGAAGGUCGUCGGAUUGUAAAGCACUUUAAGUUGGGAGGCGGUACCAACAGAAUAAGCAACGGCUAACUACGUGCCAGCAGCCGCGGUAAUUC
rnacentral:rRNA from 1 species